rnacentral:rRNA from 1 species
UACGGGGGGGGCAAGCAUUGUUCGGAAUUACUGGGCGUAAAGGGCUCGUAGGCGGCCAACUAAGUCCGACGUGAAAUCCCCAGGCUUAACCUGGGAACUGCGUCGGAUACUGGAUGGCUUGAAUUCGGGAGAGGGAUGCAGAAUUCCAGGUGUAGCGGUGAAAUGCGUAGAUAUCUGGAGGAAUACCGGUGGCGAAGGCGGCAUCCUGGACCGACAUUGACGCUGAUGAGCGAAAGCUAGGGGAGCAAACGGG